rnacentral:rRNA from 1 species
CACGGGGAGGUAGUGACGAAAAAUAACGAUACGGGACUCAUCCGAGGCCCCGUAAUCGGAAUGAGUACACUCUAAAUCCUUUUGCAAGGACCAAUUGAAGGGCAAGUCUGGUGCCAGCAGCCGCGGUAAUUCCAGCUUCAAUAGCGUAUAUUAAAGUUGUUGCGGUUAAAAAGCUCGUAGUCGAAUUUGUGUCCCGCGCCGCUGGUUCAUCGCUCGCGGUGUUCAACUGGCGUGUUUCGCGGGACGUCCUGCCGGUGGGCUCUUCGAAAUGAUUGCUUCGGCGGUCGUUCGUGGCCCAACUCGUAUCCGUAUUGCGCGAAUGCGAAUCCCAUCGCGGUGCUCUUUAUUGAGUGUCGAGGUGGGCCGGCACGUUUACUUUGAACAAAUUAGAGUGCUUAAAGCAGGCCAAUUUUGCCUGAAUAUUGUGUGCAUGGAAUAAUAGAAUAGGACCUCGUUUCUAUUUUGUUGGUUUUCGGAACCACGAGGUAAUGAUUAAUAGGAACGGAUGGGGGCAUUCGUAUUGCGACGUUAGAGGUGAAAUUCUUGGAUCGUCGCAAGACGGACAGAAGCGAAAGCAUUUGCCAAAAACGUUUUCAUUGAUCAAGAACGAAAGUUAGAGGUUCGAAGGCGAUCAGAUACCGCCCUAGUUCUAACCAUAAACGAUGCCAGCUAGCGAUCCGCCGACGUUCCUCCGAUGACUCGGCGGGCAGCUUCCGGGAAACCAAAGCUUUUGGGUUCCGGGGGAAGUAUGGUUGCAAAGCUGAAACUUAAAGGAAUUGACGGAAGGGCACCACCAGGAGUGGAGCCUGCGGCUUAAUUUGACUCAACACGGGAAAAUUUACCAGGCCC